UAGAAUCGGACCAAACAACCACGGUAAUUUCUCAUACUGGACAGGCGGGAACAGACCAAUUAGUGAGUUUGUUCUCUUUGGCUGAUCGAUUAGCGAAGCCUAUUACUCCGUCUGGUCGGAAAAAACUUUUUCUGUGUGUCUGUGUAUGUGUGUGUCUGUCCGCACGAUAACUCGAGAACGGAUUGAGCUAGCGACCUGGGAUUUUAAGGGUCGUUUUGUACCAUUAAAAGACAGGUUGAGUUCGAAGAUGAGCAUUCUAGCUGAAAAAUUUGAUUUAUAUUUUUUUUUAAACAACGGGUCCCAAAGAUGACGUUUUAUGAAAAUAUUUUUUUGUGGUUUCCUCCCAGGAGGUAACUCGUAAAAGUAUAGUUGGUUCACGAAAUUCUGACACACCGGCACGCAAAGGACUUGGAGACAAUCACUCCCUGAUUCUUUGUUGACGUCGUAAGCAUCGUAAGCAGUAUGGUCACACUCAUAAGGGUCGGAUCGCUAGGUUAGAGCUGCCAGGCUGUACUUCGCACUCUCCCGCUGGUAGUGGGCCCCCAUAAAAGAGACGCGAAGAUGUUUGGCAGCAGUAUCACUGGGCCCGACGAGGGCCGGGGACCCUCCGCCAGCAGGCCUUCACGCAUCGUAAUGACGCUUACAAUGAGACCUCGGGUCAAAAGGCCUGCCGGUGUGUUAAAAUUUCGUAAACAAACUAUAGAGUCUUUUAGACGAAACUUUUCUCCGUUUUGCUCUAGCUCAAACUAUUUAGGCGCUAGAGGGUAUUUUUGAUGAAAAACAAGCAAAAAAUGUACAACCCUGCAUGCAUAGUCGACGUGAAGGGCAGUUGACGGGCCGUAGACCCGCACCUUUGUGUACAUUUGUCCACUACCCGACUCGGGUGUCAUCGCCGCAGGCCAAGGUAGAUGUAUGCCCGGCGCAGCGCAACAGUGUUUCGUGAGAUUUCGCGAAGCCUGUUACGCGAGACGUGGUCUGGCGUACGUCUACAUUGUUAGCUUCCGAUUUAGAUAGCCUGGAACACACUAUUAGUGUAUUUUUUUUAGUGAUAAUUGGCCUGAGUUGAAAUAAUUUUGAUAAUGUAAGAAAAACUUCAUACUUUAAAGUGAAACACACGGUCUUAUGACGAUCUGUUGGAUACUAUCACAUCCGAAAAUUGCUUAGGUAUUGAAACGCACUAUCGACUGCUUAAGUAUCCAGCAGCUCGGCUUGACCGCGUGCGGAUAAGUUCAAGGUGUCGAACUGUCCUUUUAUCAAAUACGAAAUGAGAUAGCUGCCCAUAAGAUGGUUAGUAAGAGGCUAGACAAUAAAAGAAGGUAUGAAUAUUUGUGUCUCGUAACGGACAAGUCAUCCGACGCAAAUGUCCAUAAACGUCCGAGUUGUGGGCAAAGAGAGUAUGUAUAGUCGAAAUGUCUGAAUAUUCAAUAUCAAAUACGUGGUCUGCGUUUUUAAACAUAUUCUUAAGUGACCUGCAUUUUCUUUACUCUUGCAGGUUUUUUUUCCUUUGACGAUGCGCUCCCAUGAAGCAAUUGGAAUUUUGGACUGUGAACUGGAAAAUAUCGAAAACGAAAAGGACAUCGGAGACACAACAGUACCUUAGGUCACAAGUGCCAAAGUCAGAGGCUGUUCUGAAAGACUUUAGAAGAAUGCGGCUUAGUCCUGAGAACUAGUACUAUGACUGCUAUAUAGGAGUGAAAUGCAAGUUCAAAAUGCACUAAUAAAAAGGGCACCAGCGACAGAACUAACCACCGAGUACGGCUACAGGAAAUCUAAUGCCAUAAGUAAGUAGUCAAAACAGGACUUGAUAAAACAAAACAGUUCAGACUAUUUCGGCAAAUACUAGUCUUGGGUUACCAUAUGUUGAAAACAAAAUUAUUACACAAAUGUCAGUAGGAGCAUUGUUUCAUCUCUCGCGGUAAGGGUCGCUACAAUUUUGUCUUGUUUCAGUGCGAACCUUUCUGUAAACCAGAUUAUCAAUAAAGAGUCAAUUACUUUGCAAA